rnacentral:rRNA from 1 species
CAGCCGCCGCGGGAAUACGAAGGGGGCUAGCGUUGUUCGGAAUUACUGGGCGUAAAGCGCACGUAGGCGGAUAUUUAAGUCAGGGGUGAAAUCCCGCAGCUCAACUGCGGAACUGCCUUUGAUACUGGGUAUCUUGAGUAUGGAAGAGGUUAGUGGAAUUGCGAGUGUAGAGGUGAAAUUCGUAGAUAUUCGCAGGAACACCAGUGGCGAAGGCGGCUAACUGGUCCAUAACUGACGCUGAGGUGCGAAAGCGUGGGGAGCAAACAGGAUUAGAUACCCGAGUAGUCCCUGUCUCUUAUAA